rnacentral:rRNA from 1 species
AUACGAAGGGGGCUAGCGUUACUCGGAAUUACUGGGCGUAAAGGGCGCGUAGGCGGCUUGGCCAGUCAGGCGUGAAAUUCCUGGGCUUAACCUGGGGACUGCGCUUGAUACUGCCAGGCUUGAGGCCGAGAGAGGGUGGUGGAAUUCCCAGUGUAGAGGUGAAAUUCGUAGAUAUUGGGAAGAACACCGGUGGCGAAGGCGACCACCUGGCUCGGUACUGACGCUGAGGCGCGACAGCGUGGGGAGC